UAAAAAAAUAAAUUUUAUUGAUCUUUUUUGAUUUUAGAUCACCUAAAUUUCCCUUGGGCUUUCCCUCCCCUCUACUACCUACCCCCAAAUAAAAUUAUAUAGACAAAGUGUAUAUUAUUUAAUUUGUUUUUUAAUUAAUUUCUAAAAUAAUGCUUCCUGUUAGCAUGAACAAUUUUAAAUUGACUGAAAAAUACUAGUUAUGAGAGUUUUGAGGGAGUCAGGUUAGGGCUUGUGUCUGCAAUUUUGAAAAUGGGAGGGAUUAAUGGGAAAAUUCAUAAGAAAGAAGGCUUCUGUGACAGGUUCUCUUUCUUACUGAUAAUGAAUGAUUUCACUAGUAGAUAUGAGUAGAUCUUCAGAGACAUGACAUUCCAGAAAACUACUAAUGGAAGUUUAGGUUGUGGACAAUUCCCAUUCUACCCGUCAACCCCUCAUAUUCAGAUGAGUUAAGAAAUUAAUUUUGAGACAUAUAGACCAUCAAGACUCUUCAGAGAAAUCCCACUCUCAAGAGCCUAGAAAACAAGAACCAUGUUCCUGGACCCUCUCUAGGAACAAGAGAUACACAUUCAUGACCUAAGAAAGGAAAGCACUGGUUGCCAGGUGCAGGCUAUAGUGUUUCAUAGAAGAAAAUUCUUCCAUAAACACACUCACUUCCUAUGCCCAGUUACUUACUCUGAAGGCUGACUUGAGGGAUGCUUAGGAUAAGAUAACUAGCAAGAUACUAGAGAAAGAACAUUGUUAGCCACUUGACCUCUGGAUUCUGUAACUGUGGUAGUAGACAAUCAGCAGUCAACUCAGUCACUAUUCUAAGCUUCACUUUGGAUGAUAUGAAUUCUGGGAGGUGAUGAAACUGGGGAAAUGAGUGAUGGUGAUGGUAAGACUAUAGAUGGAAACUAUAUUAAACCAGGAAGAUGCUGGAACUAUGAAGCUCUCUUACAGAGUAAAGAUGCAUAUAAAGAACUAAAAUCAUCACCAAUGACAGGAGAGGCAUCCCAGACAGUCCCUGAGAAGAAAAAUGAUAAAUUAUCCACCAAAGGAAAAAAAGAACAUUCUAGUAAAAGGAAAAAAAGGGGGAAAAGAUCCCUGAACAAAAGUGAUAAAAUGCAGAGGCUAUCUGCAUUUGAAAUUCCAGUCGUUGUACGUCUUCCUGGACUAAAAGUGGCUAAGAGCAAGUCAUCUAAGCCUCGUAUUCCAGCAUGGCCUUGCCCCAAAGAAAAUGAACUUCAAGUAGCAACUUAUUUGGCUGCUCUGCAAAACAAGAUUGAGCAGACUUAUACAGAACCCAGAUUGGUGCCAAACAGACCAAAGGAAGCUCAAGCAAACGAAGAUGAACAAAUAGAAAUUAUCAGUUUGUAUGAAGAAGAUGAGAUUGAAAAGAAAAUUGUUCUACCUGGUCCAUGUCGAAGCUGGGAUGAUCUAUUCACCAAUAAAGGAAAACCCUCAAGACUUUCUGAUGUGUCUCUGUCAAUUACAAGUCUAAUACAACAAUUAGCCUUAGACAAAGUAGUUGAGAUAAAUAUAGAUGAUUUAUUAGAUGACACAAAAGAAGUCAGUCCAACUCCAGCAUGGAUGGAUGUUUCACCAACACCUUCCCAAGCAUCUCUUCAACAAAAUAAAGUAUCUGCUGUCACUAAGGAUUUGUUUAGAAAUGGAAGGGAAGGUCAGAACAAGCACACCUCUGCUCCACCUAUGUAUCCAGCACAAAAGACCACUUUCUCUUCAUUUCAUAAGAAAGAGCCAGUUUUCCAAAUGGGAAAAAAGCAGCCUUCCUCCUUGACAAGUUUUGGGUUAGAGCUACAGGCCAAAAUGCCUCCUCCAGACAGAAACUGCCGCAGGACCAGGAAUUUUCUUUCAGUAACUAAACAAUUUGCAGAAAAGGAAAGUGAAUUAUACAAGUUUCAGAGUCAGCAAGAGAGUGAUUUUUCUCCCACAACCAGUCCCUUCAUUAGAAAAAAGGAACUAUGCUCAGGGUUUAUGUGUGUGGUCAAUGCUUGGACUGUUUCACAACCAGUGCCUACAAUGCAGGAUGGCAAUUUACUUCCAGAAAAAAUUUUCAUGCCACAAAAGCCAAGACGUACUACAUUUAAUAAAACAUUCAAAUGAUGUUACUUUAUUGAUAUUAACUUAUGUAAUUAUAUUACCAAGAUUGUUAUUUUUCUCUUGCAGUAUAAAUUACUAAAUAAAAUCUGUUAAAUGUGAUUGUGAAACA
ensembl:lncRNA